AUGUACAGAAAGGAUAAUCGUCCGGUCGCUUGUGUUUACUCCUCGGAGGCUGGUGUAUGGGGCAAUAUCAUCUUCACAUAUGCUCGAUGUGAGCUUGCUGAUGCUAAUCCCGGAGUUCUUGUUGGUAAUGUCCUUUACUGGUCGUCUAAGUCUAUUGAUGCCGGCCAACGUUUGCGGGAUUUGGAUAGGCGCACAAACGACAUAAUUGAGUUUGAUUUGGAUACACAUAGCCUAGCUGUGAUCAAGGGGCCUCAUUGUCUUAGUAACUCACUCAGACAUCAGAUCUUCAAGGCAGAGGAUGGUUCUGUUGGUCUCACCAUGUUGUUUUAUGGUAGAUUCACAAUGUGGCGGAGGAAGAUUGAUUGUCAUGGUGUUGCCACAUGGUUAAAGCACAAGAGCAUUCAAAUGCAUCCUAUUCUUGGGCUCUCUCAUCACCUUGUGAUAUCGCCGAGAUGGAUAGAUGUACUGGGGUAUGAUGAGGAUAAUGGUGUAAUAUUUUUACAUGUGGACGCCAGUGUCUACAUGGUUCAACUGAUGUCGAUGCAAUCCAAGAAACUUUAUCGAAGCUAUUGUCCCAAUAAUAGAUGUCACCCUUUCACAAGUUUCUAUGCACCAGCCAUUCCUGGUGUAUGCGAUGGAGCUGAAAUGUUGCACGAUACGUAG
rnacentral:rRNA from 1 species